CACGCCCUAAACGAUGCGAACUGGAUGUUGGGGACAAUUGAGUCUUCAGUAUCGAAGCUAACGCGUUAAGUUCGCCGCCUGGGAAGUACGGUCGCAAGACUGAAACUCAAAGGAAUUGACGGGGGCCCGCACAAGCGGUGGAGUAUGUGGUUUAAUUCGAUGCAACGCGAAGAACCUUACCUGGCCUUGACAUGCACGGAACUUUCCAGAGAUGGAUAGGUGCCUUCGGGAACCGUGACACAGGUGC
rnacentral:rRNA from 1 species